rnacentral:rRNA from 1 species
UGUCCCUAGGGGGGCAGCAGUGAGGAAUAUUGGUCAAUGGGAGAGAUCCUGAACCAGCCAAGCCGCGUGAGGGAAGACGGCCCUAUGGGUUGUAAACCUCUUUUGUCGGAGAACAAAACCCGGGACGAGUCCCGGACUGCGUGUAUCCGAAGAAAAAGCAUCGGCUAACACCGUGCCAGCAGCCGCGGUAAUACGGAGGAUGCGAGCGUUAUCCGGAUUUAUUGGGUUUAAAGGGUGCGUAGGCGAUCCGUUAAGUCAGCGGUAAAAUUGCGGGGCUCAACCCCGUCGAGCCGUUGAAAAU